rnacentral:rRNA from 1 species
GCAAGUCGAACGGCAGCACAGGAGAGCUUGCUCUCUGGGUGGCGAGUGGCGGACGGGUGAGGAAUACAUCGGAAUCUACUUUUUCGUGGGGGAUAACGUAUGGAAACUUACGCUAAUACCGCAUACGACCUACGGGUGAAAGCAGGGGAUCUUCGGACCUUGCGCGAUUGAAUGAGCCGAUGUCGGAUUAGCUAGUUGGCGGGGUAAAGGCCCACCAAGGCGACUAUCCGUAGCUGGUCUGAGAGGAUGAUCACCCACACUGGAACUGAGACACGGUCCAGACUCCUACGGGAGGCAGCAGUGGGGAAUAUUGGACAAUGGGCCGCAAGCCUGAUCCANCCAUACCGCGUGGGUGAAGAAGGCCUUCGGGUUGNAAAGCCCUUUUGUUGGGAAAGAAAUCCAGCUGGUUAAUACCCGG